UGGGCUAUCGCCAAGUGGUAAGGCACAGCACUUUGACUGCUGUAUUCGCGGGUUCGAAUUCCGCUAGCCCAG
rnacentral:tRNA from 1 species